AAAAAAAAAAUAAAAAAAAAGGAAAAGCCCAAAACAAAUGGGCUGACAUGUUGUGGAGGGCAAAGGCCCAUAGGCUUGAAAUAGCACCAACCAGGUCAUCACAAGUACGCCUAGUACUCCAAAUCAUUCAUGAGCAUCACUCAUGACAAUCAUACAUAAACAUUCAUGACCUUCAUUCAUGUCAACAUUCAUGAGCAUCACUCAUGUUA
rnacentral:lncRNA from 1 species